AUGGACCUGGCACUGGAGAUGGUUGCGCAAAUGGACGCAGAGGCCGAGCAACAGAUUUGGGACCUUGUGUCGGAUAUUGUGCUCGUUCCUGCACCCGCGCGCCCGCAUGAGCUAUAUAACGCGGCCAAUUGGCCGGAAUGGGCCGUGCCCUCCGAGUUGUAUUUCCCCGACAACCAUACAACAUUCCAUGCAUUCUACGGCGGUGGUAGUGGCCUUGGCGUGGUUGUGGUCGUGGCGCUGGUCGUGGACAUGGUGAUGCUGCCCACGACCAUGGUGGAGGCCGUGGUGGUGGUGGUGGUGAUGCCAUUGGCGGUGGCCAUGGCAUCAGCGGGAGCCGUGGUGGUGGUGGUCGCGGCUGCAACUAGAUAG
rnacentral:rRNA from 1 species